AUUGAACGCUGGCGGCAGGCCUAACACAUGCAAGUCGAACGAGUGGCGGACGGGUGAGUAAUGUCUGGGAAACUGCCCGAUGGAGGGGGAUAACUACUGGAAACGGUAGCUAAUACCGCAUACCAUCGGAUGUGCCCAGAUGGGAUUAGCUAGUGGGUGGGGUAACGGCUCACCUAGGAGAAGAUCCCUAGCUGGUCUGAGAGGAUGACCGGCGACACGGGAACUGAGCCACUGGCCAGACGCCUACGGGAGGCAGCAGUGGGGAAUAUUGCACAAUGGGCGCAAGCCUGCUGCAGCCAUGCCGCGUGUAUGAAGAAGGCCUUCGGGUUGUAAAGUACUUUCAGCGAGGAGGCGUUACGCGCAGAAGAAGCACCGGCUAACUCCGUGCCAGCAGCCGCGGUAAUUC
rnacentral:rRNA from 1 species